AAGUCGUAACAAGGUUUCCGUAGGUGAACCUGCGGAAGGAUCAUUACCUGGAAAGGGGACCUGUCUGGUCGUCAGACCUGUGCAGGUCCCUUUCUUACACCCUUGUCUAUGAGCACCCUUUUGUUGUUUCCUCGGCGGGUUCGCCCGCCGGCAGGAACCCCUUCAACCAUUUUGCAUCAGCAUCAUACUUCUGAUCUAAACAAAAAUUAAUAACAACUUUCAACAAUGGAUCUCUUGGUUCUG
rnacentral:misc_RNA from 1 species